GUAAACAAGCUGAUUGAGCCGGCGGCCGUGUUUUUCUCGCGAAUUGCGCACAUUUGGCACGUUUUUCGCGUUUUGCAGACGAUUGGCGGGGAUGCAGCGGCUGUUGCACUCGUCGGCGCCGCUGUCGGCGCCGCCGGAAAAGGCCACGCCCGGCAAGCUGCGGAAAAAGAGCGGUGACACGCUGAGCAAGUGCAGAAAGAAGGCGCUCGAGAACUGCGGAAAACUCGUCGCCAAGGUGGUACCGUGAGGCGCCAGGUCUACUUAGAAUCUCAAAGGUUCGACUGGAGGGCCGUGGAAAGUAUUAGCGGAGGGUGCAGGUGGUGCUGUCGGCCCAGGUCCAGUCCCAGUCCCAGGUCGACGUCGGGAAGGUUUUUAAAAAAACCAACAAAACCAAUUUUCGGCUCUCCAAGUAAUCGAAAACCGGUGUUAAAUUGACACCUGUUGCGUGAGGAGCUCGCUGACCUGGCGAGGGUUGCAGAUGAUUGCCAGAAGCAGGAGGCGCGGAGAAAAUGAUACCCUGGGCAGGGAAUCGCAGGUGGAGCAGCAGCACCGCCACUCCACCUUCGAGCGUUGAGUCGCACUCUCGUGGACCCUGUGAGCGCAUCCACCUAAUGCUUCGGAUGCUAAGCCGCGCGGUGCGUGUCUGCGGCGCCGGCUGGCAUGCACACAUACCUCCGGCGACGGCGCCGUUUCUCGCCAAGUGGCGCCGUGCCCACGAGCAACUUGCGGGCGCCCGCCCGGCGCACCAAGCGGCCCACGUCGCUACUGGUGGCCGCCGGCGGCCACCAGGCCAAAGUGCUCGAGCACCGGGUCGAUGGCCACGAGCAGCAGCAGCAGCAUGUCCAAUUG